GACGAACGCUGGCGGCGUGCUUAACACAUGCAAGUCGAACGGAAAGGCCCUGCUGUUGUGGGUUGCUCGAGUGGCGAACGAGUGAGUAACACGUGAGUAACCUGCCCUUGACUUUGGGAUAACGUCAGGAAACGGGGGCUAAUACCGGAUAGGAGCUCCUGCUGCAUGGUGGGGGUUGGAAAGUUUCGGCGGUUGGGGAUGGACUCGCGGCUUAUCAGCUUGUUGGUGGGGUAGUGGCUUACCAAGGCUUGGACGGGUAGCCGGCCUGAGAGGGUGACCGGCCACAUUGGGACUGAGAUACGGCCCAGACUCCUACGGGAGGCAGCAGUGGGGAAUAUUGCACAAUGGGCGGAAGCCUGAUGCAGCAACGCCGCGUGCGGGAUGACGGCCUUCGGGUUGUAAACCGCUUUCGCCUGUGACGAAGCGUGAGUGACGGUAAUGGGUAAAGAAGCACCGGCUAACUACGUG
rnacentral:rRNA from 1 species